rnacentral:rRNA from 1 species
CCAGAAUACUGGCGGGCGCAAUGUGCGUUCAAAGAUUCGAUGAUUUCACGAAUUCUGCAAUUCACAUUACUUAUCGCAUUUUGCUGCGUUCUUCAUCGAUGCCAGAACCAAGAGAUCCGUUGUUGAAAGUUUUGAUUUAUUUAUGUUUUACUCAGAAGUUACAUAUAGAAACAGAGUUUAGGGGUCCUCUGGCGGGCCGUCCCGUUUUACCGGGAGCGGGCUGAUCCGCCGAGGCAACAAGUGGUAUGUUCACAGGGGUUUGGGAGUUUAAACUCGGUAAUGAUCCUUCCGUAGGUGAACCUGCGGAGGGAUCAUUACCGAGUUUACAACUCCCAAACCCCUGUGAACAUACCACUUGUUGCCUCGGCGGAUCAGCCCGCUCCCGGUAAAACGGGACGGCCCGCCAGAGGACCCCUAAACUCUGUUUCUAUAUGUAACUUCUGAGUAAAACCAUAAAUAAAUCAAAACUUUCAACAACGGAUCUCUUGGUUCUGGCAUCGAUGAAGAACGCAGCAAAAUGCGAUAAGUAAUGUGAAUUGCAGAAUUCAGUGAAUCAUCGAAUCUUUGAACGCACAUUGCGCCCGCCAGUAUUCUGGCGGGCAUGCCUGUUCGAGCGUCAUUUCAACCCUCAAGCCCUCGGGUUUGGUGUUGGGGAUCGGCGAGCCCUUUGCGGCAAGCCGGCCCCGAAAUCUAGUGGCGGUCUCGCUGCAGCUUCCAUUGCGUAGUAGUAAAACCCUCGCAACUGGUACGCGGCGCGGCCAAGCCGUUAAACCCCCAACUUCUGAA